UACGUAGGGGGCUAGCGUUGUCCGGAUUUAUUGGGCGUAAAGAGCGUGUAGGCGGCCAGGUAGGUCUGCUGUGAAAACUCGAGGCUCAACCUCGAGACGUCGGCGGAAACCAUCUGGCUAGAGUCCGGAAGAGGAGAGUGGAAUUCCUGGUGUAGCGGUGAAAUUCGUAGAUAUUAGGAAGAACACCAGUGGCGAAGGCGGCUCACUGGUCCGGUACUGACGCUGAGGUGCGAAAGCGUGGGGAGCAAACAGG
rnacentral:rRNA from 1 species